UACUUUUUUAUCAUUAGUUAUUAUUAUUUAUAAUAAUGAUGAUGAAAACAUAAAACAAACAAACAAUCAUCCUUAUCAUCAUCAACAACAACAUGUUUAUGAUGAUAGACUUUCAACAUAGUUCCUGAC
rnacentral:ribozyme from 1 species